rnacentral:lncRNA from 1 species
UUCUGGUUCUUGCUAUCACAAUGUGUCUUGUGAUGGGUAUUGCCUAGCUGUUUUAGAACACAGGUUGGCCAUCUGUUUCUUUAUUGGAUCAUAUAGGAAAUAUUUUAGGUUUUGAAGGCCAUAGAAUUUCUAUUGCAAGGAAAUUCUCAUUUUAGUACAAAAGCACCAAGGGAAAGCUUAUAAAGAAAUGUUUUGUUGUGUUCCAGUCAAACUGAUGUACACAAAUAGAGGAUUGAUUAGUUCAUGCCUAUUUUGCCAAAUCCUGGCCUAGAAUAAAGAAAAUCUGCUACUUGUGGGCCUGCCAUAAAGAUGUGCUGUGCAAGCUCAUAGGCCUCUCAGGUUUGUGAGGGAAAAAUUCCUAUUCCCUCAGUGUGUUUUCAUUCAUUAAAACUUCAUCAUGUGCCUGUAAUGCCAAUUACUUGGAAUACUGAGGAAGGAGGUUCUGAGUUUAAGGGCAUAGGCAAUUUAGGAAGACCCUGUCUCAAAUUAAAAUAUGAAAAGGGCUGUGGACAUAGCUCAGGAGUAGAGUGCUUCUGGAUUCAAUCCCCCAUAAGGUGGAGAAGGAACAAACUAACAAAAACUCAUUUAAUCUUGGGUUUCAUGUUGUGCAGAUUUGCUAUGAUGUAACUAAGGUAGCAGGUGAAAUUGUUUCUGUUACAAGGAAGUGAUUGUAUCAUUGUGGAAAUUAUUUCAUUUAGAAUAUUUCUCUCUUUUCUGCCACAUGUUCUGG